UUAGGCCGGGAACUCAAAGGAGACUGCCAGUGAUAAACUGGAGGAAGGUGGGGAUGACGUCAAGUCAUCAUGGCCCUUACGAGUAGGGCUACACACGUGCUACAAUGGCAUAUACAAAGAGAAGCGACCUCGCGAGAGCAAGCGGACCUCAUAAAGUAUGUCGUAGUCCGGAUUGGAGUCUGCAACUCGACUCCAUGAAGUCGGAAUCGCUAGUAAUCGUGGAUCAGAAUGCCACGGUGAAUACGUUCCCGGGCCUUGUACACACCGCCCGUCACACCAUGGGAGUGGGUUGCAAAAGAAGUAGGUAGCUUAACCUUCGGGAGGGCGCUUACCACUUUGUGAUUCAUGACUGGGGUGAAGUCGUAACAAGGUAACCGUAGGGGAACCUGCGGUUGGA
rnacentral:rRNA from 1 species